rnacentral:tRNA from 1 species
UGUCUGAUAGUUAAAUGAUAUAACAGUGGAUUGCAAAUCUAAAAUUGCUUUAUAGUUCAGGCUU